rnacentral:rRNA from 1 species
GACGAACGCUGGCGGCGCGCUUAACACAUGCAAGUCGAACGCUGAAGCUCAGCUUGCUGGGUGGAUGAGUGGCGAACGGGUGAGUAACACGUGAGUAACCUGCCCUCUUCUUUGGGAUAACGCCCGGAAACGGGUGCUAAUACUGGAUAUUCACUGAUUCUCGCAUGGGGGUUGGUGGAAAGGUUUUUUCUGGUGGGGGAUGGGCUCGCGGCCUAUCAGCUUGUUGGUGGGGUGAUGGCCUACCAAGGCUUUGACGGGUAGCCGGCCUGAGAGGGUGACCGGUCACAUUGGGACUGAGAUACGGCCCAGACUCCUACGGGAGGCAGCAGUGGGGAAUAUUGCACAAUGGGCGAAAGCCUGAUGCAGCGACGCCGCGUGAGGGAUGGAGGCCUUCGGGUUGUAAACCUCUUUCGCUCAUGGUCAAGCCGCAGCUUUGGGUUGUGGUGAGGGUAGUGGGUAAAGAAGCGCCGGCUAACUACGUG